GACGAACGCUGGCGGCGUGCUUAACACAUGCAAGUCGAACGGAAAGGCCUCUUUCGGGGGGUACUCGAGUGGCGAACGGGUGAGUAACACGUGAGUAACCUGCCCUUGACUUUGGGAUAACUUCAGGAAACUCGGGCUAAUACCGGAUAGGAGCUCCUGCUGCAUGGUGGGGGUUGGAAAGUUUCGGCGGUUGGGGAUGUACUCGCGGCUUAUCCGCUUGUUGGUGGGGUAGUGGCUUACCAAGGCUUUGACGGGUAGCCGGCCUGGGAGGGUGACCGGCCACAUUGGGACUGAGAUACGGCCCAGACUCCUACGGGAGGCAGCAGUGGGGAAUAUUGCACAAUGGGUGGAAGCCUGAUGCAGCAACGCCGUGUGCGGGAUAACGGCCUUCGGGUUGUAAACCGCUUUCGCUCAUGACGAAGCUUUGUGUGACGGUAGUGGGUAAAGAAGCACCGGCUAACUACGUG
rnacentral:rRNA from 1 species